CCGUCUCAAUUUGUUGCGGACAAAUAAAGUGAAUGUGACUGUCAAUUCCCCCAGCGGUGACGAUACAACCUUCAGCGGCGAUCGCCUCGGUCGCGGGACCAAUAAUAAUAUCAACGUUGUCUUGAAUAUGAGGGUUUCCCGCUUUACCAAUUUUGCAAAUUUUGCCGUCUUUAAUGCCAAUGUCGGCUUUAACAAUGCCCCACCAAUCGAGAAUGAGGGCGUUGGUAAUUACCACAUCUACGGCACCUUCGUCGCGAGAAAUGGGGGAUUGUCCCAUGCCAUCUCGG
rnacentral:sRNA from 1 species